UGGACAGAUGAGUGAGGAAAAACAAAACAGUGGACUCACCAGCCGAGCGUCAGCAUGGACUCGUUCCAGUGGACAGCGUCCAGCACACAUCAACACCUCUGUGGGGGAGAGGGAGAGAGAGAAAGAGAGAGAGAGAUGUGUCCUGGAAGACAUUACUUACAAAUACCAGGACCAUCGAGAAGGAGGGCGCUGGACAUGCCAUAUGGCAUAACCAUACAUUCAUAGAUGCCAGAAGUGGUACUGAAUACUGUCUUCCAUUGGCCUCCUUCCUGAUUGAUCCUGAUCUAAGGCUGAGGGCAUGGUGAGGCAGAAGAUAACAGUGCUUGGCUGUAAUUUGGUUACGUCCAUGCGUAAUCAAAAGAAGCGGCCCCUUUCUAUCUUUUGUAAAAAAUAAAUAAAUAAAAAUA